AGUGAACGCUGGCGGCAGGCCUAACACAUGCGAGUCGAGCGGCAGCGGGUCCUUCGGGAUGCCGGCGAGUGGCGGACGGGUGAGGAAUGCAUCGGAAUCUGCCCUGUCGUGGGGGAUAACCUAGGGAAACUUAGGCUAAUACCGCAUACGACCCACGGGUGAAAGCGGGGGAUCGCAAGACCUCGCGCGAUAGGAUGAGCCGAUGUCCGAUUAGCUAGUUGGCGGGGUAAAGGCCCACCAAGGCGACGAUCGGUAGCUGGUCUGAGAGGAUGAUCAGCCACACUGGGACUGAGACACGGCCCAGACUCCUACGGGAGGCAGCAGUGGGGAAUAUUGGACAAUGGGCGCAAGCCUGAUCCAGCCAUGCCGCGUGGGUGAAGAAGGCCUUCGGGUUGUAAAGCCCUUUUGUCCGGGAAGAAAUCGUCUGGGCUAAUACCCCGGGCGGAUGACGGUACCGGAAGAAUAAGCACCGGCUAACUUCGUG
rnacentral:rRNA from 1 species